rnacentral:tRNA from 1 species
AGGUAUAUUAUUGUUAAUAAUAAAAUUGAAAUUCUCCAAUUAAAGAAAUUUUUCAAGAAAAG